GAAUGAAAUGAUGAGCUUUGUUGUUUUGAUUGUCGCGAUGAUGGUAAUUUUUAGGAUAAGCUGUAGUUGAUCAUUC